rnacentral:ncRNA from 1 species
UUGGAAGGUGUAUAGUCAAAGACGGGUCAGCAUUAUUUGUCAGUAAUUAUCGUCCAAUUUCACUGAUGUGUUCGUCUGCCAAGGUUUUGGAAAAGCUCAUGCAUUGUCAUAUUAAUCGCCUUUCUCCAGACGCAUACACGUGCUUCAACAUAGUUUUAUGACGAACCUUUCUGUGGAAUUAAAGGGAAUUUCGUUUCAAAAUUUUUCGGGUGCCAAACUAGGGUCUAACCAGUAGGUCGAUGAAGGUUACUUUAAUUUUAAAAAGCAUUUGACCUGGUGAGUCAUUAUGAUCCCUUUAUGAUCUCUCCUUACCACCUUGCGAAUGUAUCCAAAGCUAUCUGGAAAACCGAUGGAAUUCUGUUUCAUACGGUGGUGUAAAGUCAACCGAGCACAUCUCACGGUAGGGCCUCCUGUAGAGUUCCAAUCUAUUGUCUCUGCCUUUCAACAUAUUCGCGAACGAUAUUUGCUCGUGCAGAAAUCACUCGGAAAUGUUACAAUUCGCCGCAGACAUUAAGCUUUUUCGAGCUACUGUUGACAUUUCUUAAUGAGAUAAACUGCAGCAAGAUAUUACAGCUUUGGCAGACUGGUUCGGAAACAACAACUCGGUUCUGAACCCGACUAAAACAAAAGUUACACCUUUUCGAGAAAACAAUUUUUUAUCACAAUUUACCACACUGUGAUGCCCUUAAAUGUCCGGCGCCACACGCGCACUACGCUGAAGGAAGCAGCGUGUUUUUAUUCCCGUCUGUAAAGGGUGGGUAACCCGUGGAACCUCAUUCUCAAUUGGGAUAGGGGCUUGCCAUUGUUCCCCUUGAAAGAGGAAUUUUCAGCAAGCGCGAUUUAUAAGCUCGCGUUAAUUAAGUCCCUGCCCUUUGUUCACACCGCCAUUGCUACUAGCCAUCGAAAGAAUUCAGUAUAAUUUUGACAAUGUGUUAACACGCCCGGCGUAGAUUUUUUUUAAACAUUUCUUUUGCGAGAAAGUUAUAGUAUAAGGUUUCUGCUAAUGC